rnacentral:RNase_P_RNA from 1 species
UUUCCGCGUCAGCGGGAAAGGAAAGUCCGGACAGCGCAGGGCAAUCCACCGGUGAACAGCCGGGCUCCCUUGAGCAGGAGACAGACAGUGCCACAGAGAAUGACAGCCCGCGUCCGCGAGGGCGGGGGUGAUGGUGAAAACGUGGGGUAAGAGCCCACGCGCCGUUUGCAGUAAUGCAGGGGCGGGGUAAACCUUGGAUGCUGAAAUGCCACGUAUAUGUGCCUUGAAGGGCGGCCCGCCCGAGUUUUCCCGGCAACGGGGAAC